ensembl:lncRNA
AAAAUCGAACCAACGCCCAGCCAAUCACGUGGCGCUCCUCCGGUCAUGUGACGCAGACGGUUCACCUCACAAGACCGGGGUCAACCACGGCUAUCAGCAUGAACGACGGCGCUUCAGACCCACGCAGCGAGGACCCGAUGCCAGGUCCAGUGGACAGACUUCAGACGUCUCUGUGUGUUCGGUCCUGUCCGGUCCUGUCUCUGGUUGCCUGGUUACAGACGCUGCUGCACCCGCACGUUUAAAAAUGUCUACACCUGAAACUCCACCACGUCUAAAGAAGCAAAAACGUUUGCAAAUGUACAGACUGGAGUGGGAAGAGUGGAACCCCUGGCAAUGGAUACAAGGCAAACUGUGUUUUCUGUUGCUCAUGGACUGGCUGAAGUAAGGCAGCAUCAGGAGACAAACCUGGAGGAAAUAUAAGAACAGAGAGAACCCAACCAGCAGGUCACAGUUUAUCAUCAUCUAAUCAUCUCCUGAAGUCCAUAUGGCUGCCCACAACCAUCCCGGCUGCUUGGAUCUAGACGUGCAGCUCCAUGAUGCUUCCUGUCAGCCAGGUA